rnacentral:tRNA from 1 species
CAGCGGAGUGGUUAACGCGCUGGCCUGCUAGUCGUUCGUAUGAGCGAAAGUCAGCCAGUUCCUUCGGGAGCGUGAGUUCGAAUCUCACAGG